AAACAAAGCUUUAAUUCAUUAUAGAAAAACAAAGCUUUAAUUAAUUAUAGUGUCUGGUAAAAGUAAGAAAGAAAAAGGAGAAAGAACAUCAUAACUAAUUACUGUACAAAGUUGAAAAAAAGGGUAUGAAGACAAAAAGCUGUGAUAAGGUGAUCUGCCAUCUAUUACUUUUGACUGGUGCAGAAGAGUCUAAAAAGAGAAAUGAAAAAAAUAGUAAUCUGUGUUAAAAACAUUCUAAUGUUUGUUUGGACAAUACUUACUGGAUUUAUGUUGUUUUUCUGUAGUACCUGCGUUUUAAAAAUGUCUAGUUGUUGUUUUAGUCACUGAUCGGGUUUUGACUACUUUUGCCUAGCUUACCUGGUAGAGGGAGACACGUUCUUUCAUUCGGCCAUUACAGACUGGACCUGAAUGAAUAAGCAUCGUGUCCGUGUUUCUGUUCAAUAUCCCACUCCUCUACUGACUGGACCUGAAUGAAUAAGCAUCGUGUCCGUGUUUCUGUUCAAUAUCCCACACCUCUACGGGGGGGGAACAUAUGCACCAACGUCACCGCUACGUGCAAGAGUAAAGUCCCAGCCACUCAGGGAGCCCAACCCAGGUGCGGUACCCAGGGAACAAGCGACUACCGAUCACACACUGACAGGCCAGCCAGCAACUGGACCCCCAAAACCAGGCCCAACGUGCCGCCAUUCUGGCUUGCAGCAGGCCGUAGACAGACACGCCCCGCAGAGGACAAGGCACAGGAGCAGCAGGAGACAACCACUCCCAAGUCAGUGAGAGGUCAUAUCCCAUGCAAGCAGAAAGACUGGACGCCCCAUUAGGAGGGUCCGGAAGUUCCUCGCAGCCGGACGGGAUGAUCGCACCGCCCUACAACAACCGAGCCCCCAUGAGCCCAACCCUGCAUGGACCCCCAUCAAUGGAGAUGUAACAUCCAGCAACUGCACCGGCGCAGCCUCCCCCUGAGAAAAGAAAAUAAAAGCGGGGAGGAAAGGAGGAGAUCACAGACACGUCGACACACAACGCCACUGCCCCAGCAGCUUGCCACCGUGCAAUACCAUGCAACGCAACGAGGCGCCACGAUAGACCACGCGUGGGGAAUAGACCCAGCAGGCCCCCAACAAGAUAGACGUGGAAGGGGUGGGCGGCGGCACCCAGGGGCCCCAGACACACAGUCUGGCUGCAGCUGCCCGAAACGGCGACUCCUGUGGGGCAAGCAGGCUCCAAUAAUAAAUUAUAAAUGUAUAAAAUAUAAAUGAAUUACAUAUAUAUUUUGUAAAAGGCUUCCUGCCGCCAUUGUGUGGGUUGCGUGGACCAAACAGGAACGAUAUCGCUUCGCACAGGUUUGACUAUUUAUUUUUCAAUAAGUAGCUCGCAGUGUCGGUCGGUCGCUCUUUCAGCUCCAUCUCCGCUGUUCGCGCCGGGCUCCUUUUCAGUCGCCGCGUCUUUCCUGUGCUGGUCUCGGUCGCUCCGUGGCUUUCCAUGGUUCUCGCUCGUCUGAUCGCUCGUCUGAUCGCUCGUCUGGUUGUCUCCUACUUCCGCCACGAGUGUGCCUCCUUCGCCCCUUUUAUGCUGCAGCAGAAGAUGAUGGGAUUGAGAACAGGUGUGUAGUUUACGCACCUGACUGGGCUGGCUGCAGCAUCACUCCGAGUGCGCCCCGCCUCUCCUCUCUGCUGCAUGCUCCGCCUCCUGACCUCCAUCUUGGGUAUGACAGCUGUCGGCUCAGU